rnacentral:rRNA from 1 species
GACGAACGCUGGCGGCGUGCUUAACACAUGCAAGUCGAACGGAAAGGCCCUGCUUUUGUGGGGUGCUCGAGUGGCGAACGGGUGAGUAACACGUGAGUAACCUGCCCUUGACUUUGGGAUAACUUCAGGAAACUGGGGCUAAUACCGGAUAGGAGCUCCUGCUGCAGGGUGGGGGUUGGAAAGUUUCGGCGGUUGGGGAUGGACUCGCGGCUUAUCAGCUUGUUGGUGGGGGAGUGGCUUACCAAGGCUUUGACGGGUAGCCGGCCUGAGAGGGUGACCGGCCACCUUGGGACUGCGAUACGGCCCAGACUCCUACGGGAGGCAGCAGUGGGGAAUAUUGCCCAAUGGGCGGAAGCCUGAUGCAGCAACGCCGCGUGCGGGAUGACGGCCUUCGGGUUGUAAACCGCUUUCGCCUGUGACGAAGCGUGAGUGACGGUAAUGGGUAAAGAAGCACCGGCUAACUACGUG